UCACUAGCUCUCUGUCCUCCUUCAUCUGUCAUAGCUGGGUCUCACUAGCUCUCUGUCCUCCUUCAUCUGUCAUAGCUGGGUCUCACUAGCUCUCUGUUCCUCCCCCAGUGGUUUUUAAAGGUUUUUACAGAGAAAAUAUUAGUACUGCAUCUGACUUCUUCCCAAUGAUUUUUAAGUAUUAAGUUAUUAUUAUUAAGUAUUAACUAUUUGACUUAAAAAAAAAAAAAAACAUCUGGAAAAUAGCACCAUUUUUUAAACGUUAGCCCCAUUUAUUUUCUGAAGCCUGUACUGUCAUCCUGCCUCUCGGAGACUGAGGAGGAGGAUGUUGAAAUGAAACCAGGACAGUCAGGCGUCCCCUUAGGCUUCAUCACAAUGCGUUUGGCAGCCGAGACAAGACGUAAUGUGACGUCUCCUCUCCAUGCAUGUCACCAAGCUCACUGGUUGACCUAGAAGCAUAAUAUAUGAAACCCUUUAGAAGAGGAUUUAAAAAGCUUUGCUUUGGGGAGAAUAAAGAAGCAGGUUUAUCUAGGCUACACGCAAUUAGAAAGAAACAAAAACAAAUGGUACCAACCAUACAAUCUGCAAUUCCCAAACAAAAUGGCGACUUCUCUGAAUCCUAGAAUACAGGAAGCACCUUAUCCUUCAUUUGGACAUAAAUCUAUUUUCAUAAAUAGAUGCAGAAGAGAUGUUUUUUUUUACCGUACGGGGAGGUAAUAUAUGCAAGGUGCUUCCUUACAGCUGCACUAGUAAAGGAGGAAGAACUGACUCCAUGGUCCUGAGUCUGACUUGCUUGCAUACAGUAUGUGUGAAAUAGGUACGCUAACACUGUGCUGUUACAGGAACCAGAAAUAGAGUAAAAAAAUAAUAAUUGUGAUAUCCAAUUUGUAACUACUAUCUUGUCCCAUCGCUGCAACUUCCAUACAAGGAGACGUGAAGGUCGAGAGCCAUGCAUCCUCCAAAACACGACCCUGGCAAGCCGCACUGCUUCUUGACACACUUAACCCCGAAGCCAGCCGCACCAAUGUGUGGGAGGAAACACUGUACAACUGGCGACCGAAGUCAGCUUGCAGGCGCUCAACCCGCCACAAGGAGUCGCUAGAGCGCAAUGGGACAAGGAAAUCCCGCCCGGGCCAAACCCUCCCCUAACCCGGACAACGCUGGGCCAAUUGUGCACCGCCUCAUGGGUCUCCCGGUCACGGCCGCCUGUAACACAUCCUCGGAUGGAACCCGGGGCUAUAGUGACGCCUCGAGCCCUGCGAUGCAGUACCUUAGACCGCUGAGCCAUGCGGGAGGCCCCAGAGAGAAAGUCCUACUACUUCAGAACAUUGGACAGCACAUUGCAGGUAGUUUCAUCGGUCCCUGAAACUAACUACUACUUAGGAAGCUGCACCUAUAAAACUGGGUUUAGAAAAACAACUUCCAUAUUAUAGCAGUCAUUUAUCCUUUUAAAAACGACGUUCAACCAACCAGAUAUCAACCUUAAUAUCCCACCCUGAAUAGUAACGUUACUGAUUUAAUUUAUACCAUCCAAUCAAAAUAACCCAUUGAUUUAAGGGGAGGGAAAAAAAGCAUGAGGUAAAAAUCUAAAACAACCCAAGUAAUUCAAAACAGGUUUUCUAUUUUGUAUCCCACCACCCUGUACCCUAUUUGAGUAAAUAUCAACUCAUAUGCUAAUCUGUGUGAUACUGGCGUUGUUUAAAGUAUGUUUUUGUACGGUUCGUUUGUUUUUCCGAGGUUUGCCCCCCCCCCCAAAAGGCUUCAAAUAAUAACAAAGAAUUUGUAAUAUAGAAAAGGACACUUGUUUGAUGAUGAGGAGAGAUGCGAGGUGUAUGUUGAAGGGUCCAGUGUAAUGUCUUACCCUAUAAAUGGGAAGGUAACAAGGUAAGGCAACAAGAUGGAAUUCCAGUAGAUUUUCCACUUCAUAACAUUUUUUUACUAUUACAACAGAGAAAAAUAAUAACAGAGAUCUGUUCAGAAGCAGGCUGACCUGUGACUAAAACAGACGUUCCCAACUGUGUACUUCAUAUAAACUAGUGGCUUUUUUUUGUUGACGAGUGAUGUCACCUUUGUCUUCAGUGCUCACGCAACACCUGUCUCUUGCUUAUAGAACUAGAUCAGACUUGACAUGUGGAUUGACUUGAAAAAUGGGGAAAUACCAUUCUAGGAUUUCUAUUUCUAUGGUCUCACGUACAACAGCAUUAUCCGUCCUACUAUACAACCAACCGCUCGAUCUCUAAUUUAGACAACGCUCUCCAUCUCUCUCACUUACGCCAUAGAGACUGUUUGAAAAGCCGUGUCGUCUCUAAUGUUCACUUUCAAGUACUGUAUUUAUACAUUGACAACACCCAAUACACCGGAUACUUAACUACUGAAAUGGCUGACAUCAAAAUACACUGGAUACUGAAAGGGCUGACAUCAAAUACACUGUAUACUGAAAUGGCUGACAUCAAAUACACUGUAUACUGAAUUGGCUGACAUCAAAUACACUGUAUACUGAAUUGGCUGACAUCAAAUACACUGUAUACUGAAUUGGCUGACAUCAAAUACACUGUAUACUGAAAUGGCUGCCAUCAAAAUACACUGUAUACUGAAUUGGCUGACAUCAAAAUGCACUGUAUACUGAAUUGGCUGACAUCAAAAUGCACUGUAUACUGAAAUGGCUGCCAUCAAAUACACUGUAUACUGAAUUGGCUGACAUCAAAUACACUGUAUACUGAAUUGGCUGACAUCAAAUACACUGUAUACUGAAAUGGCUGACAUCAAAAUGCACUGUAUACUGAAUUGGCUGACAUCAAAAUGCACUGUAUACUGAAAUGGCUGACAUCAAAUACACUGUAUACUGAAAUGGCUGACAUCAAAAUGCACUGUAUACUGAAUUGGCUGACAUCAAAUACACUGUAUACUGAAAUGGCUGCCAUCAAAUACACUGGAAACUCAGCUACUGACGUCUCAGCUACUGAAAGCGACCGACGUCUCAGCUACUGAAAACGACCGACGUCUCAGCUACUGAAAACGACCGACGUCUCAGCUACUGAAAGCGACCGACGUCUCAGCUACUGAAAACGACCGACGUCUCAGCUACUGAAAACGACCGACGUCUCAGCUACUGAAAACGACCGACGUCUCAGCUACUGAAAACGACCGACGUCUCAGCUACUGAAAACGACCGACGUCUCAGCUACUGAAAACGACCGACGUCUCAGCUACUGAAAACGACCGACGUCUCAGCUACUGAAAACGACCGACGUCUCAGCUACUGAAAAGGACUAACGUCUCAGCUACUGAAAUGACUGACGUCUCAGCUACUGAAAUGACUGACGUCUCAGCUACUGAAAACGACCGACGUCUCAGCUACUGAAAACGACCGACGUCUCAGCUACUGAAAACGACCGACGUCUCAGCUACUGAAAAGGACUAACGUCUCAGCUACUGAAAUGACUGACGUCUCAGCUACUGAAAUGACUGACGUCUCAGCUACUGAAAUGACUGACGUCUCAGCUACUGAAAUGACCGACGUCUCAGCUACUGAAAUGACUGACGUCUCAGCUACUGAAAUGACUAACGUCUCAGCUACUGAAAUGACUGCACUCAGUUCAACCGUAGUGGCCCAACGGUAAUAUUUGACUACUUCAGUCACUGCUACUAUUGUUGUGUUUUAGAGUUCAGUUGAAUCUCAAGCCAUCGCUGUGUCAUAAACAGUGGUUUAUUUCACCACAGAUACAGUUCAUUGCAGACAUUUACACAUUAAGUUUCUUUACAAUUCACCUCAACGUUACAGAGAACAAGCUUUUGGACUUAUGCAGACGAAACCGCGAGUUUAAAAAAAUAAGCUCAGGUGGACUGGUCAUUUUUCUGUUCUUAAUACUGGAGUAUACACUGCCAAUUACCAUAGUGGGGUCAACCAUUUUCAAUGUAUGAUACAUUUAAAAAGAAUCAAACUCACUGUUUUAAGUCCCUGAAAAAUUGUAUUUUUAUUUCUAAUGGACCGGUAUUAUGACCUGUAAAGUAUUUUUGUACAAAUUUAAUACUUUGGUAGCAUGAUAUUUAUCGUCUAUGUAUAACUUAUGGAAUUCCUCCAGCUGUAAACCUUUGUAUGGCCGAGAAAAGAGAAACAAUAAAAAAAGAUUUACAGAGUGGGAAAAAAACAUGGCUGAGGUGAUUUACAGAGUGGGAAAACAACAUAGCUGAGGUGAUUUACCGAGUGGGAAAACAACAUGGCUGAGGUGGUUACAGAGUGGGAAAACAACAUGGCUGAGGUGAUUUACAGAGUGGGAAAACAACAUGGCUGAGGUGGUUACAGAGUGGGAAAACAACAUGGCUGAGGUGGUUACAGAGUGGGAAAAAAACAUGGCUGAGGUGAUUUACAGAGUGGGAAAAAAACAACAUGGCUGAGGUGAUUUACAGAGUGGGAAAACAACAUGGCUGAGGUGAUUUACAGAGAGGGAAAACAACAUGGCUGAGGUGAUUUACAGAGUGGAAACAACAUGGCUGAGGUGAUUUACA